GGAAAUGUGCCCGAAAGAUAAGGACCUCCCUGAUAAAGAGGACCAUGGGGGUCCAAGUCCCCCCACUUCCA
rnacentral:tRNA from 3 species